GCCACGCAUAGUGGUGUGUGCCUAGAGUCCCAGCUACUCAGGAGGCUGAGACAGGAGGAUCGCCUGGGCCCAGGAGCUCUGGGUUGUAGUACGCUAGGCAGAUCAGGUGUCUGCACUAAGUUCAGCAUCAAUAUAGUGACAUCCCAGGAGCAGGGACCACCAGGCUGCCUAAGGAGGAAUGCACUGGCCCAGGUUGGAAAUGGGACAGUUCAAAACUCCCAUGCUAGCCAGAUACAAUGGCUCAUGCCUAUAAUCCACGCACUUUGGGAGGCCAAGGGGGGAGGAUCAUUUGAUCU
rnacentral:SRP_RNA from 10 species